GACGAACGCUGGCGGCGUGCUUAACACAUGCAAAGUCGAGCGGUAAGGCCCUUUCGGGGGUACACGAGCGGCGAACGGGUGAGUAACACGUGGGUGACCUGCCCUUAGCUCUGGGAUAAGCCUGGGAAACUGGGUCUAAUACCGGAUAUGACUCCAUGACGCAUGUUGUGGGGUGGAAAGCCUUGUGCGGCUAGGGAUGGGCCCGCGGCCUAUCAGCUUGUUGGUGGGGUGAUGGCCUACCAAGGCGACGACGGGUAGCCGGCCUGAGAGGGCGACCGGCCACACUGGGACUGAGACACGGCCCAGACUCCUACGGGAGGCAGCAGUGGGGAAUCUUGCGCAAUGGGCGAAAGCCUGACGCAGCGACGCCGCGUGAAGGAUGACGGCCU
rnacentral:rRNA from 1 species